rnacentral:tRNA from 2 species
GCCCAGCUAGCUCAGUCAGUUGAGUAUGAGACUCUUAAUCUCAGGGUCGUGGGUUCAUGCCCCACGUUGGGCG